UUGGCCGUAGCUUAAAGGUAGAGCGCUGCGCUGUGAACGCAGUCCGUGCGGGUUCGACUCCCGCCGGCCGAC
rnacentral:tRNA from 1 species